AAUAAGUUGUCUAGGAUGGCCUUGAAAUAACCCUGUUCAGGUAGACCUUGCAUUUGCAAUCCGCUUGCCCAUCUUUCUAAGCAGCUGGAGCUACAGGUCUGUCCCACGAGGUUCAACCAAUGUGAGGAACUUAGCGACAUAAUAUGUGGCCUCACUGUAGCCCAGCAGAUGCCAUGUUUGCUAUAUUAACACUACUUGUAGAUUUUUGUUGUUCUUCUUGCUUUUGUUUUUUUUUUUUUUUUGAGACAGAGUCUCUCUAUGUAUCGCUGACUGUCUUGGAGCUUGAUCUGUAGAUCAGACUAGCCUCAAAUUCAAUAGAUUUACCUACCUUAGAGUGAUGGGAUAAAGCAACUGUACUGCCACACCUGGCUUGUUUGGAGAUGUCCUUAACUAAAUUUUAAAGGAUUGGUAGAAUUUUUGAAAAGUAGGUUCCAAAAAUACUUCUUCAAGCAACAGUGUAAACGUAUGAGAACUUAGACCCUAAGCAGGAGUGGCAAGUUAUAUAACUACAAUAAAGAAUGAUGUUAGAUGUGAUAGGAGAUAAGGAGGGCUGGACCAGAACGUUCAGACCUUUUGCAGUUUUUGUGUUUAUUAUUUUUCAUUUUUAGGUCUUUGGGGACAGAAUCUCAUGUUGUCCCAGCUGGCCUCGGCCUUUCAGUGGACCUGAGAAUACCUUAGAACUGUUGUCUUCUGAGUCCCGCUCCCACAGGCUGAGGCUGUACCUUUGUGCCACCAUGCCCUGCUCUCAGUACUGAGUAACACGUUGAGGAAUUUAGUCCGCAAUCAGGGCUGUAAAACUUUCAGUAACCAGGAGCUCAGGAAGGAAAGGGGUUGGGUUUUGUUCCUUUAAAUUAUUUAUUUUAAUCUUUUUUUAUAUGUAUAUGCAUUUUACCAGCAUGUGCAUAUGUGUGUGUACCAAGUGAAUGUCUGGUUCCCACAGAGGUCACAAGAAGGUAUUAGACCUCUUGGAACUGGGAGUUACAGAUGGUUGUAAGCCACCAUGUGGGUGCCAGGAACCAAAGGAACCAGUGCUCGUAAUUUUUUAAAGUUUAAAAAAAUUUUUUAUUUUAUGUAUAUGAGUGUUUUGCCUGCUUAUAUGUAAAUGUGCUACAUGUAUGCAGUGUCCAUAGAGGUCAGAAAAGGAUGUUGGGUUCCUAAUAACUGGAAUAUAGAUAAUUGUGGUUCUGAGAACUGGUCUUCUAGACGAGCAGUUAUUGGUCUUAACCACUGAGCCAUCCAUCACUCCAGCCCCAAUAAGAAGUCUUUAAAAGAAUUAAGGCGGAGAGCGAUGGGAGGAGACCUGAUGUUGACCUCUGAUCUCUUACUGUGCACACAUAGAAUACUGUAUCUGUACUCGCGCACACACACACACACACACACACACACACACACACCAGCACAUUUGGAAUAGUGUACCUAUGUACACACACAAAAACACACAUACACACCAAAAAUAAAUAAAUAAAAAUAAAACAAGAUCCCAAUUUUCUUCUUGAUAUGAAUCAGUAUAUAAUAUAAAACUGAAAAUAACAAAUUUGAGCCCUCACUAGCUUUUAAGCACUUGCCUAAGAACGCACUUCCAAGGCCUGGAAUGGUGGUGCAUUCCUUUAACCUCCAGCACUUGGGAGGCAGAGGCAGGCGGAUUUCUGAGUUUAAGUCCAGCCUGGUCUACAUAGUAAGUUCCAGGACAGCCAAGGCUGCACAGAAAAACCCUGUCUUGAAAGAAAGAAAGAGAGAGAAAGAGAAAGAGAGAGAGAAAAAAAGGAAGAAAGGAAGGAAGAAAGGAAAGAAAAGGG
rnacentral:lncRNA from 1 species